CCAGAUAGGCCACAGCUGAGGGGAAUUAGUUAGUAACCCCCUGAAUGAUGAUUGAGCCUAGCUGAGAAGGAACAGGUGGGGCUAGUACAAAGCCAUGAAGUUGGCAGCAGGAAAGGGGCCUGUACUUAGGGGCCCUAUAGCCAUUCUCUAGACAUUAGAGAGGGAGGGAAGGCAGGCAGGAAACCUAGGGGAGAGGGUGUAGGAAAUGAAAGCAAGGUUUAUGAUAGUGCAGACCUCUGAGCUGGAACCCAGACUCGAGGGCAGGCCUGGGUUCCCCUACCAGCCAGUGGGGAAGUGGCACCAUCUGGUCAGUGACUGGGAAGACUGCCUGAGUACAGAUAUCCUGGAAAGGGGAAAAACACCUAGUGACCUGGCUAGAGGGCCAACCCACAAAGAAGGAGCAGCCAAGUCAUGAUAAGAGAGCACCCUGAGUCGCAGGGGGAGAGAGAUGGAAGGCACUCAAUGAGUGGCAGAAGGGGGUGUCAGACCUGGAGAGAGCUAAUCCCCAGAGCAUCCAGGAGGAGAUGCCCGAGCAGUGCCCUGUUACAUGGCCAGAGGAUUUCUAAUGACCGUGAGUGGUCAGGAGCUUGACCUCUGAAAGGAGUGCCUACCAUUGAGGUAUCUAAGGUUCUGAUCCUGGAAUUGUCUCCAUGAGUUGAGAUUCUUGUGCCGACGUGGAGCCCAGUGAAGUCAUCGGGGCUCAGGUGCCACUUGCAGCAUUGGGGAGGGAGUCUAGAUCCUCUGAGGUCUAGAUCCCCAACGUAUUUAGGCAGCUAACUCCCACUGAAGGAUGCAUGGUACGCAGAGUCAAGGGGAAUGCUGCCUGCCACCCCUUCUUUCCCCUCUAUCUGGAACAUUGUCCUUGACACUGCAUGGCCUGAGUCUUCACUCUCCUCCUACAAAUUAUGCAUCAGAACUCACUUCAUCUGAUUAGUGCUGACCUCUGCUCCUUCUCAUUUUCCCUGACUGCAUCCCCUAAUUUUGCUAUAUUAACUAAAAAUAGGAACUGGUGAGAUACAAGAUGUCUCUGCAGCUAUAAAUGUGUCUCCUGAUGUUUCACUGUUGUUAUCUUCACCCAUCCUUCCUUUAUCAUUAGCCAUUGUUGUAUUAUGUGGAAUUUAGGCCCCAAAUCUAUGAGAAGCUCCAUGUAGGCAUAGGGGUCCAUCUGCACAGAGCUCCUGGCAGGAUCAGCGCCUUAAAUUGAAAACGCUCCAAUCCAGAGAACCAUUGCUUUUAUUUGUAAUGCCAACACUUCUAUGGUCCUGUAUGAAUUACUAAUAACCUAGGGAUCCAAGCUGGUCCUCUUCUCUGAAGGCAUUUUUCCUUACCCCUUCCCUUUUCCGAAUCACCGACUUAGUCUAAAGCUUAGUCCAGAUAUAUGCUGCUUGUCCUGAAGAGAUAUCUUGCAGAAGGGUCAUUUGGAAUGAGAGUGAUAGACUGUGCCCCUCUCUCAGCCUGCGAGACAACAUACUUAAAGGCACAGCGCAUUUUAAUCCCUUGGUGAUUAUACUGGUGUAUAUUAAUGACACUGACAUUACUCGGCAGUAAACUUACCAGAAAGCAUCUCUUUCCUUAUGCUUUACUGGAUUAAUGUAUUUCUCAUGACCCUUCUUAUCUUUUAAAGGAGGAAGGUGAUUUUUCAAGAAUCACUGCUAAGGAGUCUUCAAUUGUCAGGUUAUUCCCAUGCUUGUCAUUUUGAUAUCCAAACUCUAUACCAUGAUUUUAUGGAAAUGAGAAGUGAAUGGAGAGUACUCUGUAACAUCCAUUGUAUUUUUCUAAGGUUUUAUUUUCAGCUCUGCUAACAUUCUCCCUUCUUACAAAUCUCUGUGUGUUCCCAUUGAACUUUUACAUUCGUUUCCAUGAGGGAUAACCUCAUAGGUUCUUAUGAAAUGUUUAUACGUGAUGUGGGUUUAAUUUCUUGAGUUGCAGGGGCUGAACAUUUCCUGCAUGUAAAUGGGUGCGACAACUGAUGCAAAUUCUGCCUCUUCUAUUCUUCAGCAUGGAUACAUUUUUAUAUACUUAAUGGUACAGUAAAUAGUACAUAUCUACCAGCUUCA